rnacentral:lncRNA from 1 species
GGCUGGUCUGACCUCAGCACCCCUUAGUCUGCUUGCCUCUCCCAGGACGCCUGCACAUUACCUCUCCAUACUGCAGCCCUUUAUAUGGAAACUUCCUACAUCACUUUGCUGUGUGUGUUUACACAGGUGGGUUUUGUUGUACUUGCCCUAACAGCAUAUGGGAAUGCAGCACACACCCCAACCCACACCAACUGCCACUGAAGAUGAAGCCAUGGUGGGCACAGAACCAAAAACC